UAGAAGCGUCUAGACGUGCACGGACAGCGCAACUGUAUUCUUCAACGAGACUUGUCAUCAUAGUUCAGUCAGAGGAGGAAUAAGAAUAGCAAAGAUGAGAGAAUUUCUGCUUGUUAACGGUUAUUGCAAGGUUUAUACUGAUGGAUCCUACUAUCCUGAUCUGCGUAAGGCGGGAAUCGGUGUCUGGUUUAACGAAGAUCAUCCUGCAGAUGCGAAAGCGGACAAUCCAUCGGGAUGAAGCAAGCUGAUGCUCUUGCUAGAAAAGCUGCUAGUACAAAGUAAAACUUGAUUUGUAACAUCAUCAACCUGAUCGUCAUUACAACACGUGAUGGUGAUGAUCACCAUUGGAGAUGCGUGUC